UUUAAGUGCAACUAUUGUUUUCGUGUCCAACUUUGAUUGUUCGUUUUAUUUGAAAUUUGUUUAUAAUUAGUAUUUUUAUUGUUAUGAGAUGAUACUUUACUUAUGACUUAUGGUUUUUAUUUUUUCAAAAGAAUUUUGGAACGGACGAUUAAAGUUGAGUGCAGAAAACCAUAGAAUGAGUCAGA
rnacentral:pre_miRNA from 1 species